rnacentral:rRNA from 1 species
CCUACGGGAGGCAGCAGUGGGGAAUAUUGGGCAAUGGGCGCAAGCCUGACCCAGCAACGCCGCGUGAAGGAAGAAGGCUUUCGGGUUGUAAACUUCUUUUAUGAGGGACGAAGAAAGUGACGGUACUACAGGUAUAAGCCAUCGCUAACUACGGGCCAGCAGCCGCGGUAAUACGUGGGGGGCAAGCGUUAACCGGAUUUAAUGGGUGUAAAGGGCGUGUAGGCGGGAAAGCAAGUCAGAUGUGAAAACUCCGGGCUCAACCCUGAGCCUGCAUUUGAAACUGGUUUGCUUGAGUGCUGGAGAGGGAAUCGGAAUUCCGGGUGUAGCGGUGAAAUGCGUAGAUAUACGGAGGAAGACCGGUGGCGAAGGCGG